UACGAAGGGAGCUAGCGUUGUUCGGAAUUACUGGGCGUAAAGGGCGCGUAGGCGGACAUCUAAGUCAGGGGUGAAAUCCCUGGGCUCAACCCAGGAACUGCGUCCGAUACUGGUUGGCUUGAAUCCGGGAGAGGGAUGUGGAAUUCCAGGUGUAGCGGUGAAAUGCGUAGAUAUCUGGAGGAACACCGGUGGCGAAGGCGACAUCCUGGACCGGUAUUGACGCUGAGGCGCGAAAGCCAGGGGAGCAAACGGGG
rnacentral:rRNA from 1 species